rnacentral:rRNA from 1 species
UGUAGCCCCAACGGGUGUACGGAUGGGUAGGGGAGCGUCGUGUGCCGGGUGAAGCCGCCGCGUAAGCGAGUGGUGGAUGGUUCACGAGUGAGAAUGCAGGCAUGAGUAGCGAUACAAACGUGAGAAACGUUUGCGCCGAUUGACUAAGGGUUCCUGGGUCAAGCUGAUCUGCCCAGGGUAAGUCGGGACCUAAGGCGAGGCCGACAGGCGUAGUCGAUGGACAACCGGUUGAUAUUCCGGUACCCGCUUUGAAACGCCCAGUAUCGAAUCCUCUGAUGCUAAGCCCGUGAAGCCGCCGGCUGAGUCUUCGGACGAGGUCGGAGUGGUGGAGCCGGUGACCCGAGGUGGUAGUAGGUAAGUGAUGGGGUGACGCAGGAAGGUAGUCCAGCCCGGGCGGUGGUUGUCCCGGGGUAAGGGUGUAGGACGUCAGGUAGGUAAAUCCGCCUGGCACAUAGUCUGAGACCUGAUGCCGAGCCGAUUGUGGUGAAGUGGAUGAUCCUAUGCUGUCGAGAAAAGCCUCUAGCGAGUUUCAUGGCGGCCCGUACCCUAAACCGACUCAGGUGGUCAGGUAGAGAAUACCGAGGCGUUCGGGUGAACUAUGGUUAAGGAACUCGGCAAAAUGCCCCCGUAACUUCGGGAGAAGGGGGGCCACGCCUGGUGAGGGAACUUGCUUCCUGAGCUGGGGGUGGCCGCAGAGACCAGCGAGAAGCGACUGUUUACUAAAAACACAGGUCCGUGCGAAGCCGUAAGGCGAUGUAUACGGACUGACGCCUGCCCGGUGCUGGAACGUUAAGGGGACCGGUUAGUCAUGAUUCGUCGUGGCGAAGCUGAGAACUUAAGCGCCAGUAAACGGCGGUGGUAACUAUAACCAUCCUAAGGUAGCGAAAUUCCUUGUCGGGUAAGUUCCGACCUGCACGAAUGGCGUAACGACUUCUCGACUGUCUCAACCAUAGGCCCGGUGAAAUUGCACUACGAGUAAAGAUGCUCGUUUCGCGCAGCAGGACGGAAAGACCCCGGGACCUUUACUAUAGCUUGAUAUUGGUGUUCGGUUCGGCUUGUGUAGGAUAGGUGGGAGACUGUGAAGUCCAAGCGCCAGCUUGGGUGGAGUCGUCGUUGAAAUACCACUCUGGUCGUGCUGGAUGUCUAACCUCGGUCCGUGAUCCGGAUCAGGGACAGUGUCUGGUGGGUAGUUUAACUGGGGCGGUUGCCUCCUAAAGGGUAACGGAGGCGCCCAAAGGUUCCCUCAGCCUGGUUGGCAAUCAGGUGUUGAGUGUAAGUGCACAAGGGAGCUUGACUGUGAGACUGACGGGUCGAGCAGGUACGAAAGUAGGGACUAGUGAUCCGGCGGUGGCUUGUGGAAGCGCCGUCGCUCAACGGAUAAAAGGUACCCCGGGGAUAACAGGCUGAUCUUCCCCAAGAGUCCAUAUCGACGGGAUGGUUUGGCACCUCGAUGUCGGCUCGUCGCAUCCUGGGGCUGGAGUCGGUCCCAAGGGUUGGGCUGUUCGCCCAUUAAAGCGGUACGCGAGCUGGGUUUAGAACGUCGUGAGACAGUUCGGUCCCUAUCCGCUGCGCGCGUUGGAGUCUUGAGAAGGGCUGUCCCUAGUACGAGAGGACCGGGACGGACGGACCUCUGGUGUGCCAGUUGUUCUGCCAAGGGCAUGGCUGGUUGGCUACGUUCGGGAGGGAUAACCGCUGAAAGCAUCUAAGCGGGAAGCCUGCUUCGAGAUGAGGACUCCCACCCACUUGAUGGGGUAAGGCUCCCAGUAGACGACUGGGUUGAUAGGCCGGAUGUGGAAGCACCGUGAGGUGUGGAGCUGACCGGUACUAAUAGGCCGAGGGCUUGUCCAU